rnacentral:misc_RNA from 1 species
ACCCAUUUACAUACCUACCUACCAAAUCCUAUCUUUCACUCAAAUCUCCAACCACUCCAUUUAAAACAAAUACUAUUCACUCUCUUUAAACAACCUACAAAAAAACUCAAAUAUAUAAAAUCACUAAAAUCAACGACUCUCUAUACGUCAUAAAAAACACAUUCCAAAACAAAUAAAUUAUAAACUUAAAACUAUAAAAUAAACUAAAAAUCUAUUUAA